rnacentral:lncRNA from 1 species
CAGCUCCGUGAACUUGGAAGACACUUGACUUUCUGAGCCUGGGUCUUCUUGUCCAUAAAAGUAAGAAUAUGUUUUGCCCCAUAACGAUCCUCCAGGUUAGGUCUUAUUAUCAACAUCCCCACUUUACAGAUUAGGAAGCCAAAGUAAAGAGUGAUGAAGUACUUCGCCCAAAGCCAUGCUGCUGACAAGUGGCAAAGUUGGUAUCAAAGCAGAAGACACCUGGCUCCAGGUGCUAUGCUCUCAGUCAGACACUGUUCUGCCUCUCCUCCCAGAAAGGAACGCUCUACUGAGAAAGGCAGGAGAAAAGCUUUCCAGGCAAAGCACUUUAUGUUAAUUCUUAUUCACAUCAGAUAACAACUGAUGUCCCACUUAUAUAAGUUACUCUGUAAACUAGCAAGUUUACUCAAAUUAAUUUUUGAAUCAAGCGUUUCUUCCCCAAGAUUAAUCAUUUAUAGGAAUCAAGCCAUGACUCCACCUGGGAGAUGGC